GACGAACGCUGGCGGCGUGCCUAAUACAUGCAAGUCGAGCGAAGUUUUUCUGGUGCUUGCACCGGAAAAACUUAGCGGCGAACGGGUGAGUAACACGUAAAGAACCUGCCUCAUAGACUGGGACAACUAUUGGAAACGAUAGCUAAUACCGGAUAACAGCAUUAACUGCAUGGUUGAUGUUUAAAAGUUGGUUUUGCUAACACUAUGAGAUGGCUUUGCGGUGCAUUAGCUAGUUGGUGGGGUAAAGGCCUACCAAGGCGACGAUGCAUAGCCGACCUGAGAGGGUGAUCGGCCACACUGGGACUGAGACACGGCCCAGACUCCUACGGGAGGCGGCAGUAGGGAAUCUUCCGCAAUGGGCGAAAGCCUGACGGAGCAACGCCGCGUGAGUGAAGAAGGAUUUCGGUUCGUAAAGCUCUGUUGUUAGGGAAGAAUGAUUGUGUAGUAACUAUACACAGUAGAGACGGUACCUAACCAGAAAGCCACGGCUAACUACGUGCCAGCAGCCGCGGUAAUACGUAGGUGGCAAGCGUUGUCCGGAAUUAUUGGGCGUAAAGCGCGCGCAGGUGGUUUAAUAAGUCUGAUGUGAAAGCCCACGGCUCAACCGUGGAGGGUCAUUGGAAACUGUUAAACUUGAGUGCAGGAGAGAAAAGUGGAAUUCCUAGUGUAGCGGUGAAAUGCGUAGAGAUUAGGAGGAACACCAGUGGCGAAGGCGGCUUUUUGGCCUGUAACUGACACUGAGGCGCGAAAGCGUGGGGAGCAAACAGGAUUAGAUACCCUGGUAGUCCAAGGGCGAAUUCCACAGUGGAUAUCAAGCUUAUCGAUACCGUCGACCUCGAGGGGGGGCCCGGUANCCAGCUUUNGUCNNNAGUGGGGGGGGNA
rnacentral:rRNA from 1 species